GUGAACUUCAGUUGAAAACUGUUGGAGGGUGAACUUUAGUUGAAAACUAUUGGAGGGUGAACUUUAGUUGAGAACUAUUGGAGGGUGAACGUCAGUUUAAAACUAUUGGAGGGUGAACGUCAGUUUAAAACUAUUGUAGGGUGAACAUCAGUUGAAAACUAUUGUAGGGUGAACUUUAGUUGAAAAUUAUUGUAGGGUGAACAUCAGUUGAAAACUAUUGUAGGGUGAACUUUAGUUGAAAACUAUUGUAGGGCGAACGUCAGUUAAAAACUAUUGUAGGGUGAACUUUAGUUGAAAACUCUUGGAGGGCGAACGUCAGUUGAAAAUUAUUGGAGGGUGAACGUCAGUUGAAAACUAUUGGAGGGUGAACAUCAGUUGAAAACUAUUGGAGGGUGAACUUUAGUUGAAAACUAUUGGAGAGCGAACGUCAGUUGAAAACUAUUGGGGGUUGAACGUCAGUUGAAAACUAUUGGAGGGCCAACGUCAGUUGAAAACUAUUGGAGGGCGAACGUCA